rnacentral:rRNA from 1 species
GCGUGAGUGAAGAAGGCCUUAGGGUUGUAAAACUCUUUCGACAGGGAAGAUAAUGACGGUACCUGUAUAAGAAGCUCCGGCUAACUCCGUGCCAGCAGCCGCGGUAAUACGGAGGGGGCAAGCGUUGCUCGGAAUUACUGGGCGUAAAGCGAGCGUAGGCGGUUAGUCAAGUUGGUGGUGAAAGCCCGGAGCUCAACUCCGGAACUGCCAUCAAAACUGACUUACUUGAGAUUGGUAGAGGAAAAUGGAAUUCCUAGUGUAGAGGUGAAAUUCGU